UAGAUAUAAAAAAGAAUAAUAGAAGCAAGUAGCAGACACUGUAUUCUAGCAAAUAUAAACACUGUUGUAUGGAAGAGGACUGGGAGUUAUACAAAAAUGAGUAGAAAUAGGUCAAAGGGCUAAUUAAAGGAUUCAAAAUAAGUGCUGAUUGAUAAAUGCAGAGAAAAAUUCUACUAUCCUGAGAAGUAGAGUAAGGACAAAUGAGGAAAGAGACUUCAUGGUUAUCGGCAGAAGAAGUUUGGGGGAGCAAUGGAGAAAGCCAGUAGACUGCUACUUCAUCAGGCUGGGCAAACAUGUUGGAGAGGCAGAAUUCUGACAGCCCCUGCAAGGGCCAGUUCUGGAGGCUGCUUAGGUGGCAGCGGCAGGGCCUAUCACUAUGGCAACACUGCCUUUCUGCGGCAGAAGGGGAAAGCCGAGGAUAAUCCACACAGCAGAUGACACAUUUCUGAUGGGGAACCCGAGACGGUAAGUUCUUCUGGGCAUGGGACAUGUGUUAUGUUUAUGCAGGGCUUAGUGCUGAGGCCGGAGCCUCCGGGUAAUACAAAUAAAAUAACCACGUAGGACGGUGAUGGGGUAGUGAAGUGGACAACUUACCCACAAAUUGCCACAAGUACAAACCUACCCAUGCUCAGUGUAAGACUCAAACGUUUUCACAUGGGUGAAGAGCUUUGAUGUAAUGUUUACUCUCGAGGACAGGGCUCAUAGUAUGAAAUUGGAUAGUACAGAAGUAUUAUGGGCCUCUUUCUCCACUGCCUUGCCUAGUCAUUCAGGGUUUGAUCCCACACUACUCUAGUUCAGAGGUGUUUUGCUAUUGCCUUCACUGGGAGCAGUAUCAUGCCCUUUCCUGUGCAAAGCAAGUGUGGAGAGGGUAGAUAACGCUAUUAUUCCGAUGAGGUAGUGUUUUGCAGCCACGGCCACAGGUGUAAGUGACAACCCAAGGUACAAGGCAGUGGAGAAGCAGGACACCGAUGUUUUAUUUGCAAUAUACAGGAAUAGAAGGCUAAACCACCAUUCCUUUCAUGUAACAGCAAAAUAUGCUGCCUAAAGUAGCUCACAGUCUGUGGUGAUGGUUGCCCUGAAAGUGUGAUCAGUACAAAGUCAGCUGCAAAGGUCUAAAUUAGUCAAAUCAGGCAUAAUUCCAGACUCCCUAGACCACAUGCAGCUCCUGCACAUAGUAAGUAGACACACUGCCUGUGAUAAAAUAUAAUUAAUAGGAGUUAAAUUUCCAUGUAGCGCUUCUGUUCAAAACAUGCUACAAUAAGCAAUUUUGCGCCACAGUUCAGACCUGUCCUUGGAGAUUUUAUAGAAGAAAUUGUAAUUACAUGCUCAUUGCAGUGAACCUUGAGGAGACAAUGGUGACAGUCCAGUAUAUUCCUUCCAUUUAGAGUGUAUUCCUUUUAUUCUGAAAAUAUAAAUAAAACCACAGAUGCAGCUGUAUGUAAUAAAUCUACUGAUCUGUUAUUUGGCAUGAUUGCUAUAUUCCCUUGCCUCCUAGUUUGACUCCAGAUCUUUCAAACUGAAAUACAGUGGGAAGCUGCUCACCAGAGAAUGGAAAUAAAAUAUUUCCCAAUGCAUUCAUCGUACUUAAAGAGUUCUCAAAAUAUUUGCAUGUUCAAGGAAUUCUUUUUAGCUUGCAGUUAUCCUGUAACAAAAUAUUAUCCAAGUUAUGAAAUCCUUAGUCUUUAUUCAGGCAGAUUCCCAUUUACCACAUUGCAAGUUGUCCCAAUAAGCACAGAGUUAAAACUUGAGCCUAGAUUGUUAUGGUGCAAUUGAAAUCAUUCGGGACUACUUUCAUAGUAAAAUAUCUGUGAGUAAGGUCUUGAAUAAGGAAUUAGUUGUUUGGUUUUAAGUGUUUUGCCCAUGAUAAACUACCCAACCACCGAAAGAUUAAAAUGUACUGGAAGAUCGUGUAUGUCAUUCAAACUUCAGAAACAAAUAAUUAGAACGAAAGGAUCAAAAUUCACCAAUUAUCCCAAUUUUAAAUAUGUAGAGAUAUACAUAGAAUACCAACUCCUAUACACUUCUGCUUCUCCCUUUAAAAUGUUUAAAUCUCAGUUGAAUUACUAACAGACCUGAUAAAACAAUUUUAUUUAGUAUGUCAGGGUUCCGUCAACAUUAGCCACAAUUACCAAAAAAAAAAAAAAAAAGACAUUUCAAUUUUCAGCUGGACAGAUGGGCAAAAGGUGUGUACAUGUUUGGUUUCUGCUUCUUGUUAAAUAUGCACUUUCUUUGUUUCACAGCACGGUCACAAGUGAAAGAUCUUGGUGCUACAAACAUAUGUGCGUAUGCAGACAAGCCGUGGCCCACAAAGAUUAAACCUUGGUGUUAUGGUGAGAGCAUGGCAAUAUGAAUGGAAGAAAUAUAUUUCCUUUAAAAAUAUUUUAAAAAUCCCUUAUUUAAACAACCCCCUAAAAAACCAAAACCAAAACACUACAGUAAUCACCCAAAACAUUUCAGUAUUGCUACAGGGAGUUGCUGUAUUCUGGAUCUUUAUUGUACUACAAACUUUAAAGGCCAAUUCUGCUCUUAAUAGCAGGUAGAAAUACAUUAAAAAGAUGUAAAAAGUCAUUUGUGUAUAGAUUACUUGGGGCAGCAUUCUAAGAAGGAGAGUUUUACCUUAGUUCUAACUACAAUCCUAUGAAAGGUAAAUUCCAAUUUAGUCAUAUGCUAUAAUAAAAAUAAAAACAUGCUAUAACAAAACUAAAGAGGACUUGAUUUUGUGUGCCAGCCUGCAUUCACACGUGCAUGUGACGAGCCUGCAUUCACACAGGUUCCAUUGGGCCAGAUUUUCCGGCAUGGUGAGUUGUGUGUGUGGGGGCGGGGGCGCAUCAAAAAGCCAAUUGCAGACUGAAGGCUGCUCUACAUUCCAUCAGCUGGUAUCUGUCCCAAAGGAUCAUCCACCAGCUGAGGACUGGAGCACAAUGCACUUUGGUCACAUCCUUCCCAGUCCCUUCUCACCCUCUAUACUGGGUUAUGUGUGUAUGAGAAGAAGUCAGCUCCCUGGGCUCUUCUUCCACUAGGUAAUUCCACACACCAUGGAAAUUACAAUCAGGGGAGAAGAGGCCAGUUACUCCUCCUUUGUGCCACUAGAAUGACACAGAGCAGGGGAGAAAAUCUACACUAUCAUGUUCCACAGAAUUACUCUGUAUUCACACUGGUGUAAGUGAGAGGCACAGUUUUUAAAAAGCCUUUUGAAAGAGGACAAAGAAUAUAAUCUCAUUUGUUAAGGUUAGAAGAACAAAUACAUUUUCCUUCCAAUUAGUUUGACACAAUGGCCUUUGCCAGCUGUGUCCAGAUUGUACCUUGUAGCUGUAACUUUUUAAAAUUAUGGAACAACAAUUAUGAAUAAAGAAGGGCCUGAACCAACCCCUAAAUUCCAGCUCUGAAUGUCAAUCGUGGGUUGGGUCUGAGUUCACAAUGUGCGCGUCUCUCAACAAUGGGCCAAAUCCAAAACACCCAAACUUUGAUUCAGAUUCUGACCUGAUGGCAACAUCAUAGCAAAUCUGGACAAACUCUGCUGAGGUCAAUGGAGCUGCUCCAGAGUCACACACCCAUGUAACUGAGAGAACAAUUUAGCCUGUAGAAUUUGAUUCUGGUUCCAGUUUGGAUCAGGAGUUUUGAUUCAGGUCCAUAUUUAAUUUUUAAGACUUGAAUUUUGUUCUAUUUCCACCAUUAAAGAAAGUCUUCAAAGUAAUGUUUUUCCAGGCCCCUAAACUUAUCUAAUAAGGUAGCAGCAUGUUGGUCUGCUAAGUAACUAAUUCGGGAAGUUCUUUCUUUCUGUCAUUGUUGUUUCAAGGUUUUAAAUCAUUAGAACAACAUUGCUCUGCAGAACAGCAGCAGAUGAAAAGUAGCUGUCGUAAGCUAGGGCCGGUCUGAUCUUUACAUAUGUAUUAGUAACUGUGGUGGGUGAGGGAGAGAAUAAUAUGUGGGAAGGGAAUUAAUUGGAGGUCAGCACAAAACAGACUUACAUAAAUGAUAUGAUACACACAAGUUGUCUUAAGAAAUUAAAGAUACUUGGGUAGGGAGGAGAGCUUUAAUUGGACUUGACCUUGUAACAUUCCCUUAUGUUCCUGGGUGGGCUGGCUGGUCUAUUUAAAAAUGCCUGGUUCACAUUAACCCCACCCAGUGUUUGGAGAUGCUUCUCAGUACAAAACAAAUGAGCAUUUGAAUACUGCUCCAGCAUCUUAGCAGCUAAUGGAAACAAUAAGUACAGCUGUGUCAUGUAGCACCUCGGAGAUCCUUAUCAUGAAAUGUUUUGACAUUAGAAAAUAUUUUCAUUAAGGAAAAUAAUACCAAUAAAAACAACGCCUGCUACUAAAGCAACAGCUUUCCAAUUGCCUAUCUGCAUGUAUUUUUAGAAGAAACAAAACCUGAAAUACAAUAGUAUCCACUAACCAGGGCAGUUUUUACACAAAGAUUUGAUUAAAGUUAAUCAUAAACAUGUGUCAAAACAAAAACCCCAUCAAUAAUAGAUCAGCCAUUUUGUCUAAUAGAUCAGGAAGCCUGCACAAAGAAAUACGGGAUACACUCACUGUGCUGCUGAUUUUUUGAACAGCUGAGGUUUUGGUGGGGGUGAGGGGUGUAUAAAAGGGAGUGGAACUGGCACAGGCAUAAGCUGAUUUUUCGAAAAGGGCGAGGAUUGUGGUUUUAAGGCCCUAGCUGCAGUACUUGGAAUCCCUCAGCCAGAGUUUCUCCUGGGGCUCUAGGAGAGGCGUAUGCAGGAACAUGAACUCCAACCUCCAUUAAAAAGGUACGGCCUAUUGGAUAUUUUAAAUUCAAGCUGAUUUGAUUUGGCACAAAGGUCAUGUCACAUGGUAUGUUUCUCUUUCCCGAUUGGCUGGCUGAUUAACUGUAAACCAGAUUUCCAACAUAAGUAUUUGUAGUUACCAAUUAAAAAAUGGCUGGAAUGAUUUUUCAACAUUAGCUUAAAAUAUGUUGUUUCAUGAAGGUGUGGCACAAGAUCCACCCCCUACUAUUAUUAACUUCUGCAAGGCACAAUUCUCUUAGCUCAUCUGGAAAUGCUGCUUCCUGUGGGUGAACGGGAUCUUGAUUCUAGGUUUAGCUGCAGUGGCACAUAUUACAAACCCAGCAUAUCUAACCACAGAUUAGGAGAACCUGGUGAUUUAGUGGUGAAGUCCUUUCACAAUGUCUAGCUGUUGCAAAAUUCACUAAGCAGCAUUUUCUACAAUCAUCAAGGUACGGGUAUAGCUUUUGUGGGCAUACCAUGUGCUCAGAAGCGAUACGCACAAUAAAUCAGUACUAAUUAACAGGCAUCGAAAUCAAAACUGCAGUUGAAUAAGAUGGUUUACUUUCUGUCUAUCCAAGUACUUAUAUCAGGGGUUUUCAAAAGUUUCCAUUAAAUCUUUUUUUGAUGGAAAACUGGGGUUUUGAUUAAAUGAAAAUUCUCAUGGACAUUAUCAGCUUUCUGUGACCAAAAAUAAAUAAAUAAAUAAAUAAAUAUAAAAAUCAAUUAAUCAAAACCAA